rnacentral:misc_RNA from 1 species
AAUUAAUAAUAAUAAUAAUAAUAUAACAUUACUUCUACAUCCCUCCCGCCGCCCGAACAGCUCAAAAAAGUUGGCCGCCGGCCGUGGCAGUGCCGGAGAUUUCCUUUCCUAAACCAAACGUCAUAACCCUUUAAAGCCCUACAAAUCACAUACAACUGAUUCUGCCAACUGCAAAAACUUAGUCGGAGAAUCCAAACCUAAAACAUAAGACUCCUAAUCGAACUAUUACACAUUCAAAUUCAUUCAUCAAGAUGUUAAAAUCGAAGCCCAAUCA